rnacentral:rRNA from 1 species
UACAGAGGUCUCAAGCGUUGUUCGGAUUCAUUGGGCGUAAAGGGUGCGUAGGUGGCGGGGUAAGUCAGGUGUGAAAUCUCGGGGCUCAACCCCGAAACUGCACUUGAUACUGCCUUGCUCGAGUACUGGAGAGGAGAUUGGAAUUUACGGUGUAGCAGUGAAAUGCGUAGAUAUCGUAAGGAAGACCAGUGGCGAAGGCGAAUCUCUGGACAGUUACUGACACUCAGGCACGAAGGCCAGGGGAGCAAACGGG